rfam:Sphingobium baderi strain DE-13, complete genome.
CCAGAGGGCCGGGCGACCGCGGCGUGGAGAGGUACUUUCACGGCGAGGAAAGUCCGGGCUCCACGAAAUGACGGUGCCGGCUAACGGCCGGCUGGAGUGAUCCAAGGGACAGUGCAACAGAAAGCAGGUCGCCCAGUCUUUGAGACUAAGCCUUCGGGCAGGCGAAAUUGAAAGGGUGCGGUAAGAGCGCACCGCGUCUCCGGCAACGGAAGACGGCACGGUAAACCCCACCGGGAGCAAGACCGAAUAGGGGCGGCGCGCAGCUCGACUGCUAGGCCUGUUUCGGCCGAGACCGCCCGGGUUGGUUGCUUGAGGGGCGGAGCAAUCCGUCCCCUAGAGGAAUGGUCGCCUAUCCCCGCAAGGGGUGGACAGAACCCGGCUUACAGGCCCUCUGGCAUU